rnacentral:rRNA from 1 species
AUUGAACGCUGGCGGCAUGCCUUACACAUGCAAGUCGAACGGUAACGGGCCUUCGGGUGCCGACGAGUGGCGCACGGGUGAGUAAUACAUCGGAACGUGCCCGAUCGUGGGGGAUAACGAGGCGAAAGCUUUGCUAAUACCGCAUACGAUCUACGGAUGAAAGCAGGGGACCGCAAGGCCUUGCGCGGACGGAGCGGCCGAUGGCAGAUUAGGUAGUUGGUGGGAUAAAAGCUUACCAAGCCGACGAUCUGUAGCUGGUCUGAGAGGAUGAUCAGCCACACUGUGACUGAGACACGGCCCAGACUCCUACGGGAGGCAGCAGUGGGGAAUUUUGGACAAUGGGCGCAAGCCUGAUCCAGCCAUGCCGCGUGCAGGAUGAAGGCCUUCGGGUUGUAAACUGCUUUUGUACGGAACGAAAAGCCUUCUUUUAAUACAGGAGGGUCAUGACGGUACCGUAAGAAUAAGCACCGGCUAACUACGUG